UACGGAGGGAGCUAGCGUUGUUCGGAAUUACUGGGCGUAAAGCGCACGUAGGCGGCUUUUUAAGUCAGGGGUGAAAUCCCGGAGCUCAACUCCGGAACUGCCCUUGAAACUGGGAAGCUUGAAUCUUGGAGAGGCGAGUGGAAUUCCGAGUGUAGAGGUGAAAUUCGUAGAUAUUCGGAAGAACACCAGUGGCGAAGGCGACUCGCUGGACAAGUAUUGACGCUGAGGUGCGAAAGCGUGGGGAGCAAACAGG
rnacentral:rRNA from 1 species